CACCCGCAAGAGAAAUUUGAGAUCUGAAAAAGCGUACACAGCGGCCUCUGGUGGAUUCGUAAAAACAAAAACUGCAAAAAAACAUAGCUCCUGGGACUCAUUUGGCGCUCUCCAUAAAUGUAUAUAGGGAUACGUAUCCAUAAUGAGCCUGGGUUGGGAUAAUCUUAAGCAUAUGUUUGAAAACACACACACACACACAAUUGAGUUGUCAUGCUGAGGUUUGUUUAGGCAGAAAAUACAUACGCAUUCAGCACUCUCAAUGAUGUUUUAUCAGGUCAUCAAACAGUCAGACGGCGAUAACUCUUUGAGAAGCAGAGCAGUACCAGGCACUGCAACAGAAACACUGUUUACUCGUGGAGCGAGAGAAACCUGGAUCUGCUCCCUGCUUUGGAAAGAAGGAACGAGAGAUGGAACUUCAGAAAGCUGCUGGUAUCAGGCAGAUCUGCAGUCUAUAAUGCUGACAUUGUGAAGCGGAGGCGUGGGAGACAGAUAUACAGCACUUCCAGGAUCUAUCAUCAGUGUCUAUGUGAUGUCUGAUGCUGGCGCGAAAACAGCUGAUUCAGAGAAACCACAGUCUGUCCCACACGUCUGACCUUCCCCUCAGACAAAACAGCAGCUCGGCCUGCAGGAUGAGGCUGAUUGGAGGAGGAAAAAAAAACAUCACGUCCCAGAGAGCGCAGUGGGGUGUUUUCAGAGGACGCUGGAAGUAGUGGAUAUUGAUUUGACUGAUGUAGAGCUCAAAGGUGAAACGCACACACACACUGGAAUGACAGUGAAAUCAGAUCAUGGUCUUACUCUCUUCAACACUGAAUCUAGAAAUUGAGUCACGUUCGGGCAGUUAUAAUGUCAAUGUGUUUGUAUCUGGUAAUAAACUUGAAUUUUUAUGUGAAUAAUUGAAAAACAAGGGCGACACUGUGGCUCAGUGGUUAGCACUGUCACCUCACAGCAGGAAGGUCGCUGGUUCGAGUCUCGGCUGGGUCAGUUGGCAUUUCUGUGUGGAGUUUGCAUGCUCUCCCCGUGUUGGUGUGGGUUUCCUCCAGGUGCUUCGGUUUCCCCCACAGUCCAAACACAUGCGCUAUAGGUGAAUUGAAUAAACUAAAUUGGCCGAAGUGUAUGAGUGUGUGUGUGUGAAUGUUAGAGUGUAUGGGUGUUUUCCAGUGCUGGGUUGUGGCUGGAAGUGUAUCAGCUGCGUAAAACAUAUGCCGGAAUAGUUGGCGGUUCAUUCCAUUGGUGACCUCUGUUAAAUAAAGGGACUAAGCUGAAGGAAAAUGAAUGAAUGAAUAAUGGACAAAUAAACAUGAAGGCAGCAACACUAAAGCUCCAAAAAGAGGAGUUUAUAAACCUGUGGAGCUUUGAUGAUGCCACCUUUAUGUAUAUUUUUGUACUUGUACUUAUUUUAGAUUGGUGUGCAUGAUUAU